UACGAAGGGGGCUAGCGUUGCUCGGAAUCACUGGGCGUAAAGCGCACGUAGGCGGCUUGGCAAGUGGAAGGUGAAAUCCCUCGGCUUAACCGAGGAACUGCCCUCCAAACUGCUUUGCUUGAGGCCGGGAGAGGCGAGUGGAAUUCCCAGUGUAGCGGUGAAAUGCGUAGAUAUUGGGAGGAACACCAGUGGCGAAGGCGGCUCGCUGGACCGGUACUGACGCUGAGACGCGAAAGCGUGGGGAGCGAACAGG
rnacentral:rRNA from 1 species